UACGAAGGGUGCAACCGUUGCUCGGAAUUAUUGGGCGUAAAGCGCACGUAGGCGGCUUAGCAAGUCGGACGUGAAAUCCCACGGCUCAACCAUGGAAGUGCUUUCGAAACUGCUGAGCUUGAGUACGAAAGAGGAUCGCGGAAUUCCCGGUGUAGAGGUGAAAUUCGUAGAUAUCGGGAGGAACACCAGUGGCGAAGGCGGCGAUCUGGGUCGAUACUGACGCUGAGGUGCGAAAGCGUGGGGAGCAAACAGG
rnacentral:rRNA from 1 species